GCAGUGCCCUACUCAAACAGGUGCCAGUCAUUUACGCUAUAUGUAACUGGGUCCUCUUUGGGUAGAGUAAGGCU
rfam:Otolemur garnettii contig090493, whole genome shotgun sequence.